rnacentral:rRNA from 1 species
UACAGAGGGUGCAAGCGUUAAUCGGAGUUACUGGGCGUAAAGGGUGCGUAGGCGGAUAUACAAGUGUGAUGUGAAAGCCCCGGGCUCAACCUGGGAAGUGCAUCGCAAACGGUAUAACUGGAGUAUAGGAGAGGGUGGCGGAAUUUCCGGUGUAGCGGUGAAAUGCGUAGAGAUCGGGAGGAACACCAGAGGCGAAGGCGGCGACCUGGACAGGUACUGACACUCAACUACGAAAGCGCGGGGAGCAAACAGG